GACGGAGGGUGCAAGCGUUGUUCGGAAUUACUGGGCGUAAAGCGCGGGCAGGUGGUUUUUUAAGUCCUUUGUGAAAUCCCGGGGCUCAACUCCGGAUGUGCAUAGGAUACUGGAAGACUUGAGACUGGUAGAGGCGAGCGGAAUUCCUGGUGUAGCGGUGGAAUGCGUAGAUAUCAGGAAGAACACCGGUGGCGAAGGCGGCCCGCUGGGCAGGAAGACGGAGCAAUCCGUCGGCUGACGGCUGAGGCGCGACAGCGUAGGGAGCAAACAGG
rnacentral:rRNA from 1 species